CCUACGGGAGGCAGCAGUGAGGAAUAUUGGUCAAUGGACGAGAGUCUGAACCAGCCAAGUAGCGUGAAGGAUGACUGCCCUAUGGGUUGUAAACCUCUUUUAUAUGGGAAUAAAACGUUCCACGUGUGGGAUGUUGUAUGUAACAUAUGAAAAAGGAACGGCUAACUCCGUGCCAGCCGCCGCGGUAAUACGGAGGAUCCGAGCGUUAUCCGGAUUUAUUGGGUUUAAAGGGAGCGUAGGUGGAUUGUUAAGGCAGUUGUGAAAGUUUGCGGCUCAACCGUAAAAUUGCAGUUGAAACUGGCAGUCUUGAGUACAGUAGAGGUAGGCGGAAUUCGUGGUGUAGCGGUGAAAUGCUUAGAUAUCACGAAGAACUCCGAUUGCGAAGGCAGUUCACUGGACUGCAACUGACACUGAGGCUCGAAAGUGUGGGUAUCAAACAGGAUUAGAUACCCCGGUAGUC
rnacentral:rRNA from 1 species